CACGUUUUUCCCAAUUUUUCCUUUAACAAAAUACAGGCAGCAACCAUACAUACUCACACAGACCUCACUGUAUAGAGGGGGAAUUUUCACACUAUGCACAAACUCCGUUUUCCAAUCUUCCAUAGACAAUAUACAUACACACUCACACAGCAAAAUAAAAAGAGACUCUCACCAGAAAACACACACACAAUAUAGAAGGAGGCGAGAUCGGAGACGGGAAGGGUGGACAGUAAAAUGAAGAGAGGGUAUUUGAUUCGGGUCGACGAAAAAUGGAAUAAGAGGGUAUAUCGAGUUGGUGGUUUGAGAUUCGAUUUGAGGUUUUUGGAUCUGGUUUCAUCUUUCAGUAGCACACCUUGCAGAAUAAAAGCUUGAUCGGAGGUCCAAUUCUAUCUCUUCUCAUUUUUAAUUUAAUUAUAUGUGAUUGAUUUGUGUGAAGCAUGAUAUGAUCUGAAUAUUUGGUGAUUUUGAUUUGUCAUAUGAUUUCAUUGAUAGUGAUUGUGGAUUGUUGAAAAAUAGAAAUUGUGAAUUGUUACGUGGGAACCUUGGGUUAAAUUUUGGAGUGGAAAUUAAAAAUUGAUAAAAAGCAAGCGUUAGUUGUUUUGAUUCAUUGAUGUCGUUGAAUGUGAUAAUACCAUGAUAGAUCGAAUUGGGUAGUCAAACGGUAUGCUCGGGUAGACUAAUUUAGAACUUGAAGAUUGUGAAAUGUUUGAAAUAUUUGUUGAAUGGUUUAAUUUACCGCAUUUGGAUCAAUUGUACUCAUUUGGCCGGGGAAUGCCUCGAGGCACAUUGUACUUAUUCAUCGGAGAAUGCCCCGAAGUAUCAUGUACGUAAAAGAGGCUAGUGAUCGAGUAAAGCAUAGCUAGGAUAGUUAGAAUAGUUUAGGUUUUAAUUUCAACAUUUUUAUUUUGGUUUGUAAUAAAUUGGACUGGACACUAUCUUGGAGUUUUGACUGUUUGAUUGUUUGUUAUUUGUAUUGUGUGUUUUCUUUGGUUUAUGCAUUUUAUAGUGUCGUACUAGCCGAUAUACUCCACAAAGCGACCGUGGUCAUACCACGGGAUUGAGGGGUGCCUAACACCUUCCCCUCGGUCAACAGAAUUCCUUAAUUGGAAUCUCUGUUCGCAAAUCAGUUUUUAAGAGUCCAAAAUUAUUUUGAAAAAAAGAUUUCCAAAGGUGACUUAACAACUCUGAGUUUUGAUUGUUAAAAAUUCUUUUUGAAACAACUUAUUUUCUUUUGUCACUUAAUAAUAAAACCCUUUUCGAACUUAAAAUCUAAACAUUUUUGGGAAAAAAAAAAAAAGGGGUAUGACAGCUCUGACGACUCUGUUGGGGAUUUUCAGAAUUCGAACUUAUUUUUUGAGUUGUAUCGGCUUAGUGUGACACUAUAUGUGUAUAGCCACUUUGUGUUUGUUAUCGUAUGUUAUUAUUUUAUCAUUGUUGAGUGCUUACGUGUUACGUAUUUACAGUUUUUCUCUUAUGUGUUACCACUUUAUAUCUGACAUCAUAUACAUUACCCCGAGUUAAUUUUUCGCAACAAGUCCCGGAGUACACGUCAUGUACCCAAACUCUAGUUGAGUCACUCUUAUUUUAGGAGGAGGAGCCGUCAGACGUAUGGAGUAGGGGAAAGCUCUCGCAGCCACUAUCGACCAUACGCUCCCCAAACAACCUUGUUAGUGGACCCCAGCCUAGGUCAGCCUUUAUGUCAUUCUUGUCUGCAUCAUAUUGAGACCUAGCGGGACCCACUUGGUCCUUUGUAGGAGACUCAUCCCUAAAGCAUCCUUACGUGCUAAUUGUUGCAUAUUUAAGGAUAACAGGGUCAUUUAAUGGACUGAUUUGAGAAAAUCAUGUGCUAGAAUUAAAAGAAAGUGUGCAGACAAGAAAAAGUUCAAAAAAAAAAAAGGAAAGAAGAAAAAGAGAGAAAAGUGAGUCAAUUUUUUUUUUUGUAGUUUUUAGGAGUUUUUAUGGUUUUGUUUUCUACAAUCCAAUAAUUCAAAAAAGAUUCUUUUAUGGUUUUGUUUUCUAAAAUUUAAAAAUUCAAAAAAGAUUCUUCACCUUUUGUACUCAUUUUCUCAAAAAAAUAAAAACAACAUCAAAAUGAUUUUCCUUUUGUUCUCUUUAACAAAAAUUCAUAAUUUGAAAUUAUCAAUAGAUAUUUUUUCAAUAGGAGCUUUUUAUAAAAGAAAAAUUAAAAAAAAAUGGUAGAAGUUUUGCACAUUUCAUAUAACAAAAAUAUCAAAAAGAUCUUCCUUUCAUACUUGUUGGUGUCAUUUUUUAUGUUAAGUGUUAAAUUGAAAACUCAAAAAAGAUUUUAUUGACGUUUUUCAUCUUCUGUUUGUGAUCGUGUCUCUCAAGUCAAGGUUCAGUCAGUUGUUUAAUAUUUAAUUGUCCAAUCUGGACAAAAUAUGCUCACCUGAUCCUCUUUUCUCAAGAGUGAGAUACGUAGGCAACCUUUCGUGGAUUCAGUGAUCUAAUUUAAAAAAUUCAAAAAGAUUUUCUUCACUCACCAUUUAGAGUAGGUGUUUCAUAGAUAUCUUUAAAAAAACUACAAAAAAUAUUUUCCUCUGAUAGUUUCAAGUUUCUUUUCAUAUGAAAUGCAAAUCGAAAAUUCAAAAAGAUAUUUCUUUGGUAAUCAUAGGUUUCAUUUUGUAUAGGAAUUUUAAAGCUGAAAAAAUUCAAAAAAAAUUUCGAUAAUCCUUUUGACAAUUUUUUUUUCUUUUCUUCUUAAAGUUUCAAGAAAAAGAAAAAGAAAAAGAAAAAGAAAAAGAAAAAGAAAAGAAAGAGAAAGAGAGUUUGAUUGGACUUUUUUUGGUCAAACUACACAAAUUGUGCACACCCGAUUCUCCUCUCCCGGGAGUGAGAUACGUAGACGCCCUUUUUGGGUUUGGUGAUCUUUUCAAAAGAAAAAAAAAGAGCAAAAAAAUAAAGAGUUUUUGAAAAAGUCUUGCAUUCUAACGCCUUUGUUAUUUCUUAUUCAGUUAGUUUAAGGUGGUUGGUUUGUGAAAUUUUAGUUGGUCCUCUAUAUUACAAAAAAUCCAGGGAAGAGAGUCAUGUCCAGCAAGAAUAUAGAGAGUGACAUCAUGGAUCAGACAAAAAGUCAGGAAAAUAAAAGUUUAAUGUAAGAGAUUGUGAGUUUGAGGCAACAAAUGAUGGAAAUGUAUCGAGCUUGGGCCAGUGGGCUGCCUCCUUCUCUAUUUUCCACUAUUGACCCUACAAAUACCUUGAGUUUUUCACCAAAAUUGCAAGGCCAAUUUUCUGCUGUUGGUUAUGCGCCAUAACAUGCCUCAGAAUUUAGUCCAAGCCAAAAGCAUCCUAAUGCUUCCGUCACUCAUUCUCUAGCUCUUCAGUGUAAAUCUACCAUAUUGAUAUCACAACCUAUCGUCUCUGCUUCUGUUGCUCAACCCUCUACUGAAGCUUCCACUUUGGAUUUUCGUCUGGCGAUUAUGCUUCCCCAAUCUGCUAGUGAGUCAAUGUUUAAUACUCUUGAUGAUCACUAUUAUACUCUUGAGCCCACAUCUAUGUUAAUUGGACCACUAAAUUUUUUUACCAAGAAGUCUGACAUGAAAGAAGAGCAAGAAAAACUGGCUAGGAAAAUGAAGAGCACAGAAAAGGCUACGAAAAAUUCUCUGGGACUUACGAAUUAUGAAGAUUUUGCAUAUAAGGACUGGGGCAUGUCUUCAAAUGUUAAAUUCCCUCCUAACUUUGAGGUAUCAAAAUUUGAGGAAUAUGAUGGGUACGAGGAUUUUGUAAAACACUUGGAACGAUAUUCCCAUCAGUUGAGGGGGAUUGAAGGAAAGAAGAAGGAAAAUGUAUCUAUUGUCAUUCCAGGGCAAAGCAAAGCUCGAGAGGUCCAAAUCAGCAAUAUUGUCAGUCUUAAUCCCGAUCUUACACUUCAAAUCCAUAUGCUCACCUGCAACAAGGUUCCUCUUUGCAAAAUUCAGAUAUUCCAUUCUACUUCCUCAGUAUUCUUUGAACAAUGCACAACAGUAUACUCAUCUGUCUUCUUAUCCACAAUGACGUGCACCGGUCCCUCAACAUCAUCCUCGGCCCCCACAUAUUUACCAAGGAACUUCUAAGUCCAAGGUUCAACCGAUAUCAGAGUUUGCAAAGAGGAGGAAGUCAAAGGAUAAGUUUACACCAAUUGGAAAAUCGUAUGCUAGUUUAUUCCAGAGAUUGAGAGAGUUGGACAUGAUUACUCCUCUCUUUAAGUGUACUCUUGACCUCAUUCAAGAAAUUUUGAUCCUCAUGUACGAUGUGUAUAUCAUUCUGAUGUUUAGGGUCACAGUAUUGAAGGUUGUAGUGCUUUGAAAAGAGAAAUAAAAAGGAUGAUUAAAGAAAAAUUGAUCGUAGUGCAAAACAUUGACACUACAAAGGUCACAUAGAAUCUUUCAUCAACGCAUGGUAAUGAAAAAUAUGUGGAAAGUAAUGAGUUAAGCAUGGAGAUCCAAAAUUUAUUUGUUGAAGAGAAUGUGUCUGACAGUGGUGGAAGCUCUAGUCAUGCUGAUAUGCAAACCAGUGGCUAAGAUGUCAGCAAUUGAGAAGUCACUCCUCUCCCUACUAGGAAGAGGUCUGAUAUUUUGUUUGUUUUCUUUUCUAUUAUCUGAAUUAUUUCACGAUUGUAGUUCGGGAUCUAUCUUGUUUUGUCCCUUUGUCGUUUAUAUUCAAACCCUUCUAUCUUUCAUUUUAACUAAAUGGAGUGUCCCUUUUCCCUUUGUGUUUUAAAUAUGUGUUGUUGUUUUUUUACAUAGUGCAUUUUAGGUUAGUUUAAGUGAUAUUACAUGCUUGCAGAAUUUUUAGGUAGAUCUUAAAAUCCAGCUUAAGCAUGAACUUUGAAUCAGAGGGCUAAAGUUAGAAAAAGGCAUCUGAGAAAAUAGGAAGAGUGUUGAGACAUUGGGUGACCAAGUUGAAGCCUUCUUUGAAAAUUAAGGCAAUUAUUUUGAGAAUUACAAGAAUAACUUGAUCAUCAAUUGAAAGACAUGUCUCAAUUAGGUUAAACAAUGAAUGCGUGAUCCUAUAUCAAAAGGAAUAGAAAGAAAAUCAACUCCACAAAAGCAUGAGUCAUUCGAUGUAAAAGAUGUACAAUAAAGGUGGAGUUGUAUAACUGGACAAGCGUAGAAGAAGUAGUGACACACAGACUCAGUUAAAGUUAGUGCUGUAAAAAAAUGUCACAAAUGAUCUUCAUCUUUCACUGUCAUAUUGCAUGAUAUGUACUUGCAUUUUCAAGGAUUGAUAUGGCGAAGACAUUUCAUUUUGCUAUCCAAACAUUGUGUCAUCCUUUGUUUACCCCGUUUGAACUUUAAUUCUAUUUUCUUUCAUACCCCUCUUUUGGAAUCAAUAUAGAGUCAACAAAGUUCAAGAAAAAGUGGUGAGUAAAAGAAUGGAGUCAGAAAAAAAAGAGAAGACAAAUGUGUCAAAAAUAAAGAAAAGUGAUGAGUAUCAAGAAAAAUAGGGUCAGACAAAGUUUUAAAGAGAAAAAAAGCCAAUAAAAGAGAAUAAAUAAAUAAAUUAGAGUCAAGCAAAAGAAUAAAUUAUCGGAACUACGUGUGACCUGAUUAUCCUCUCUCGAAGGUGAGAUACGUAGGCAGCCCUACUUUGGGCUCAGCCCAACUAAACGAACAAUUUAGAAUUACCCAGUUAAAGAAAGUGGGGCAUGGAUUAAUUUUCAUUGUUUGAGUCAAUUCCAAAAGUUGUAAGUCUCUCCCCACUUCAAGUGUCGUUUGGGCCUCAUGCCAUUUUUUUUCUAACCUUAUCCAAAAGUCAAGUUACAACCAAAGAAAGACCUUCAGAUCAAUCGUUGAGAAUGAUAAGGCUAAGCAUGCAAUGCAUAUAAUGAUGCAUUUUGGAAACUACUUGUUUUCCUCAGCAUAAGUAAUCAGAAGAGAAAUAAAAAUGAGAGUCUUAUCGGUGAAAACCCUUACGGGAACCGUAAGACGAUUCUGAGUUGAGAGAAUGAAAAUAUGAGAGUCUCAUUGGUGAAAACCCUCACAGACACUAUAGGACAAUGGAGAGUUGAGAGAAAGAAAAUAAAAUAAACUUAUUGACGAAAACUCUUUAAGGAGUCACUAACUGAAUGAGGUCUCCAAGUGCGAUUGACCCAAGAAAGUAACUCAAUUUCAGGACCAUUAACUCAACAACAAUUGACAAAAUUUUGGAUGGAAAGAUCAGACAACUUAAUCCAAAAUGUAUGUCAUAAUCAUUAGAGUUGACUAUCACUUUCAGAUAAAUUUUCCUUUUCUUUGUUUCAAUGGACAUUCAUUGUCUGUUCUUUCUUCUUUAUAUUUUUAUUUUUGUUUUUUCGAGUUAGUUAUUCAAAUAGAAAGUCAUUUUUCUUGUGUCUUUGAGUCAAACAAAUGUCAAAGCAAGUGAUAAAAGAUUUCAAAACUGGCUACCAACUUCUUUAAUUGCACAAAGUAAGACAAAGGGCCAGCACAUGAAAGAGACAUGAUUGUGAGCCAAAAUAAGGCAUGCAGAAAGUUUUGUCAACAGAUAAGUCUUGAAACUCAUGGAAAUACAAAGUUUUAAAGGAUUUAUCUGAGGAACAUAGCAAAAAAGAGAUAUUGUGUUUGUUUCAGAGUCACUCUUAAUAAUCUGAGUUUUGAUCAAUGGUGCAGCAACUCAAUACAUAUGCUAAUGAUUGGAAGCAAGAUUAGAAGUGACAAAUGCAAGAGAAUUCACCUCAAAAGCUAAACCACAAGCUAACCACCAUGUUUUUAAACUCACAAGUUUUCUUUGUAUGAAACAGGAACACAUGUUACCUUCAAAUAAGGAUUUCAAAGCUUAAACAUCAAAGGCCAUAAUUUCUUACUUCUACAAAUGCAAGAGGCAACGUUGCUUUACCGAUUUGGUAAUCAAAACCAUGGUAAAAGCUCAUAAUCCAAUAUCCCUAGGAGACACACUUCCUUGACCGGGUAAUUCAGGUUCAUAUAUUAGGUGAUGCACUUCCUAAAUUGAACCUUCACUCUUAGAAGCCGUACUUUCUAGUUGAGUCCUUCCAUUUAAUCUUUAGGAGAUGUAUUUCUUUGUUUGGGUAACUUAAGUAAAAUUUGUAAGGAGACGUAUUUCUUUGUUUGGGUAAUUCAAGCGAUAUUUAUAAGGAGACCCAUUUCCUUGUUUGGGUAGUUCAAGCGACAUUUGUAAGGAGACAUAUUUUCUUGUCUGGGUAAUUCAAGUGGCAGUUGUAAGGAGACACACUUCCUUAAUUAGGUAAUUAAAGUUUCACUUGUUUGGUGAUGCACUUCCUAAUUUAAAUCUUAACUCCUAGAAAAUGCAAUUUCUAGUUGAGUCAUUCCACUUGACCCCUAGGAGACACACUUCCUUGACUGGGUAAUUCAAGUUCAUUUAUUAGGUGAUGCACUUCCUAAAUUUAACCUUCACUCCUAGAAGCCGUACUUUCUAGUUGAGUCCUCCAUUUAAUCUUUAGGAGAGAUAUUUCCUUGUCGAGGUAAUUUAAGUAGCAUUUGUAAGGAGACGCAUUUUCUUGUUUGGAUAAUUCAAGCGAUAUUUGUAAGGAGACACGUUUCCUUAUAUGGGUAAUUCAAGUGGCAUUUGUAAGGAUACCCACUUUCUUAAUUAGGUAAUUCAAGUUUUACUUGUUAGGUGAUGCACUUCCUAACUUAAGUCUUGACUCCUGGAAAAUGCAUUUUCUAGUCGAGUUAUUCCACUUGACCCUUAGGAGACACACUUUUUUUGUUGGUAUUCAAGGAGACGUAUUUCCUUAUAUGGGUAAUUCAAGUGGCAUUUGUAAGGAGACCCACUUUCUUAAUUAGGUAAUUCAAGUUUUGCUUGUUAGGUGAUGCACUUUCUAACUUAAGUCUUGACUCCUGGAAAAUGCAUUUUCUAGUCGAGUUAUUCCACUUGACCCUUAGGAGACACACUUUUUUGUUAGGUAUUCAAGUUUCAUUUGUUAGAUGGUUCACUUCUUAACUUAAGCCUGGACUCCUAGAAAAUGCAUUUUCUAUUUGAGUCGUUCUACUUGAUCCUUAGGAGAUAAACUUCCUUGUUGGGUAUUCAAAUUUUCGCUCAUUAAGAGACAAACUUCCUAACUUAAGCUUUUACUCCUAGGAAAUGUACUUUAUAGUUGAGUAGUUAACUCUUAGGAGGCACACUUCCUUGUCAGGGUAAUUCAAGUUUCGCUUAAUAGGUCGUUCACUUCCUAACUUAAGCCUUUACUCCUAGAAAAUGCACAUUCUAGUCGAGUCAUUCCACUUGAACCUUAGGAGACACACUUUCUUAUUUAGGUAUUAAAAUUUCACUUGUUAGGUGGCACACUUCCUAACUCAAGCCUUGAUCCCUAGAAGAUGCACUUUCUAGUCGAGUCAUUUCACUUAACCCUUAGGAGACACAUUUCCUUGUAUGGGUAAUUCAAGUUUGGCUUGCUAGGUGACACACUUCCUAAUUUAAGCUUUUACUCCUAGAAGAUGCACUUUCUAGUCGAGUCAUUCCACUUAAUCCUUAGUAGAUGCACUUCCUUGUCAGGGUAUUCAAUUUUUUCAUUUGUCGGGUGACACACUUCCUAACUUAAACCUUUAUCUCUAGAAGAAGCACUUUCUAGUUAGAGUUCCUCACUCUAUUUUUUAGAAGACGCACUUCCUAGUCUUGGUCAUUUAAUUUUAUCCUCAAGAGAUGCAUUUAUUGAUCAGAGUCUUGAUUCACCUUUGCAUUACGCAUUUUGCAAAUAGUUGUGAUUGAGUUUGACGCCCAUACAAGUUUUUGAUGAAAAACUGGGCAAAAAUUUAAUUCCUGUUAUUUGGAACUUCACUUUUGCACCCUCCUAGAAAAUAGGACUUUACUUUACUGAAAAUGGAAUCUCUCUUUAUAAUAAUCUUUGUUUGGGAUAAUGUUUGUUCUAGUUUUGAUUUUGAUUUUAGGAACCCUCUUGGAGAACAGGGUGAUGACAUUGAAAUUCAAGAGCCCGCCCGAAGAAUGGGGUGUUGAAAUUGCAAGUUAGGAGCUCGCCUGAAGAAUAGGAUAAAGAAAUUAAAAGUCAAGCAACAAGGUGAAGAAAUUAAAAGUCAACAGAUUAAAAAAAUAGCAAUUCAGGGGCCCGCCUGGAGAACAGAAUGAAGAAAUUAAAAGUUAAGCAACAAAGCGAAGAAAUUGUACCACCGACAAAACAUGGUCAAUUUUUGAGUUCAUCUCCAACACCAGAUUUUGUAUGGAGAAAGAAUUAUUCUCAAAUUUAAUCCAAUGAAAAUCAAAUCAUUCAUCACUUUUGAAAGCAUUGAAGACUCAAGUCAAGAGUCAAGAGAAGCUGCAUAGAUAGGAUUUUUGUAAUGUCAGUUAUAUUUUUAACUUGUAAUUUCAUUUUUGAUAUAAUGACAGAGCCGCGGAUCAGAACCUCGAUAGGCCUCACUCGACUUUCCAACUCAGUAUGGUCUCUUUCCUUGUCAGCUCUAGAGUUACGUGUGACUUGACUCCUACAUAACUUGAGAUAGGUAGAAUGCCCAAAAUCGAAACUCGAUUGCCCUUCUUCCUUUUGUUUCUUUGUUUUAAGUAACGGUCGGGAUAAAAUUCUGUCUCAUUGUCUACUUCUUUGUUUGAAAACACUUUGAGUUUACAUCCACAGAGGGGCAUGAUAUAGACAUGUAAUUUUGUCCCCUCCAAAAGUUAACUUUACCCAUUCAUCCUUGCCUAACCAUGUACCCUAUCAAAUUUAACCACCUCACCUUAUCCUAACUACUCACACUCUUACCCACCUUACUACUCUACCCAACCCCCUACCCCACUCAUAUUUUUUCUAUUUUUCUCUUAAUAAAAUACAGGCAGCAACCAUACAUACUCACACACACCUCACUGUAUAGAGGGGGAAUUUUCACACUACGCACAAACUCUAUUUUUCAAUCUUCCACAGAUAAUAUACAUGCACAUUCACAAAAAAAAUAAAAAUGGACCCUCACCAAAAAACACACACACAAUAUAGAAGGGGCGAGAUCAGAGACGGAGAGGGUGGAUAGUAAAACGAAAAGAGGGAGAGAGAGAAACACACUGAGAGUCUGAGAGAGGGAGAUGAAAGACGAAGAUUGAAAAUAGAGAGGUUAAAUAAAGGAGAAAAACAACAACUUAGGCUAGAUUUUUUGGCGAAUAAUUCAUCGGAAUCCCGAUCUUCUCCGGUAUGACCCACCGAAAUUCAUUGUUGUUGUCAGCCACCUGCAACUAGUGGAAGCAAUUCCAUCAGAGAAAACCAAACCAGCAACUAAAAUCCAUCGCAGUAGUGCACCACUGCUUGAUGGUGCUCCGAGUUAAGCUCAGAUUGACGAUGGUCAUUAAUUCUCAUUGCAAACUCGAGUUAGGCUCGAGUUGGUCAUUCAGUAUUUGAUUCAGGUCGACAAAAAAUAGAAUAAGAGGGUAUAUCGAGUUGGUUGUUUGAGAUUCGAUUUAUGGUUUUUGGAUCCGGCUUCGUCUUUCAAUCGCAUACCUUGCACAAUAAAAGCUUGAUCAGAGGUCCAAUUCUAUCUCUUCUCAUUUUUAAUUUUAUUUUAUAUGAUUGAAUUGCGUGAAGUAUGAUAUGAUAUAAAUAUUUGAUGAUUUUGAUUUCAUUGAUAGUGGUUGUGGACUGUUAAAAAAUAAUACUUGUAAAUUGUUACGUGGAAACCUUGAGUUGAAUUUUGGAGCGAAAAUUAAAAAUUGAUAAAAAGCAAGUAUUAGUUGUUUUGAUUCAUUGAUGCUGUUGAAUGUGAUAAUAUCAUGAUAGGUCGAGCUAUGUAGGUAAGCAGUAGGCUCAGAUAGGCAAAUUUAGAACUUGUGGAUUGUGAAAUAUUUAAAAUAUUUGUUGAAUGAUUUUGUUUACCGCAUUUGGAUCAAUUGUGCUCAUUUGGUCGGGGAAUGCCCCGAGACACAUUAUACUUAUUCACCAGAAAAUACCCCGAAGUAUCAUGUAUGCAAAUGAGGCUUAUAAUCAAGGCCCAAGGCAUCGGGUAAAGCAUAGCUAGGAUAGUUAGAAUAGUUUAUUUUUUAAUUUCAACAUUUUUAUUUCAGUUUGUAAUAAAUUGGACUGGACACUAUUUUAGAGUUUUGACUAUUUGAAUUUUUGUUUUUGUGUGUUGUGUGUUUUGUUUGGUUUAUGUAUUUUAUAGUAUCAUACUAGCUGAUAUACUCCACGAAGCGACCCUGGUGGAACCAUGGGAUCGAGGGGUGCCUAACAACUUUCCCUCAGUCAACAAAAUUUCUUAAUUGGAAUCUCUGUUCGCAAACCAACUUUUAAGAGUCAAAAAAUCAUUUUGAAAAAAGGAUUUGCAAAGGUGACUUGGCACACCAGAUUUAUGCCAAGCAGCGACUCUGAGUUUUAAUUGCCAAAAUUCUUUUCGAAACAACUUAUUUUCUCUUGUCACUUAAUAAUAAAACCCUUUUCGAACUUAAAAUCUAAUCUUUUUUUGUGAAAAAAGAGUGAUAAUUUUCAACCCCUUUCUACUUCUCGACCGCAAUCCCUUUCUCUUCCUUGCCUCAUUUUUCUUCCUUACUCUUUUAGUUUUUGGUCUACCAACCAUUUUAUGUAAUUCUAGUGGCUUCAUAGCAUGUGAAGGAUGAACUUUCUAGAAUUUCUCAACCUUAACUGAUUGAAUUUUAUGUUGGUACAACAUAUAAGUCUCCUUUGAAUAACACUAGUGUAUCUCGUUCUCUGGUUCUUGUUUAUUAUGUUGAAGAGCUUUAAUGGAAUGAGGACAUGAUCUUCCUGUCAAAUCCCGUGUCCUAUAUGUGUAUCUCUUACUAGUAAGACUCACAACAUGCAUAUCAGUACCCUCAACCAUCUCAUACCCCAAGUAUCUAUUAGCUUGAACAUGACAACCUUGUACAAUGAUUUUGAAAUCAUUAUACAAUUCCAUGACCUAUGGACAAAAAUUUUCAGUUUACUUUUCACCCUCCUCUUCAUGAUAUUUCAACCUACCCAUGACCUAUACCUAUACCAAACCUUAACAGUAAGAUUUGGGCAUUGAUGUAACAGUAAGAUAUGGACAAUAACAUAAGACUAAAAGUAGAUGCAAUACCUUAAUUAUGGUAUCUUCCAAUAUCUUAAUAACUGAUUUUGCCCUUGCAGCCAAAAUUCACUUGUUGAAUGACUCAGUGAAAUUAUUCACAUAUGAAGUUUUUGCAAACUGUGUCAAAAUAGGCUCUACACCAGUGUUGUGGAGAGUACCAUAACAGAUGUUUGAUUGCCUGUUCAAACACAGAAUUCAUGGUCUUCAAUAGAUCUUUAAAUUCUUUUGCAUAUGUACUCCAAGUAGACCUCCACAUUAACUUUUUUCAUUUCUCCACCUCUCUAAGUCUUGGCCCAAUUGCCUUCUAUAUGCCUUAAGGACUAUCUAUAAUGUGUUUUUCGAAGCAAUUGACCAACAACAUCAGUCAAUCCUUAAAAUAAUAAAACAAUCAAUAACACAAAAAGUAAUAGUAGUUCAAGUGUAUACAAAAUAAAAAUAAAAAAAAUAAUGAAAAUGACAGAUAAUUACCUUUUCCAUAUCAGACGUAAGUGUCAAUCCUUCACCGUCUGCCAAAUCCAAUGAACUUCUCAACAACUUAAUGAACCGCUUUCAUGUUAUAGUUGUUUCUUUAUCCACCACUUUCCAAGAAGGUGGAUAAAAAUGCUUAAUUGAAUUUUAACCAAGGGCCGCCAGUAAAAUUUUCUUAUAUUUUUUCUUUAAGAAUGUUCCAUCGAGACCUAUAAAUGGUCUCAGACCAUUUCUUCAACCACUUUUCAAAGCUUCACAACACACAUAAAUUCUUAAAAAUCUUUUUUUACCUUGCUCCAAAGUAUCUUUAGAUAUGUUUAUCACCACAUAAGAUUGGUAUCCCUUAAUUCUUAAGUAUAAGCUUUCAACUUGUUUAAAUGCAAUAAAGAUAUCCUCCAGAUUUUCUAAGAUAAUUCUCUUGACCCUCUUCAUCUAUGUAUAGCUAACAUUAAGUGAGAAUCUAUUAUCCAUAUACUUUCUCAUUUCAGUCACCUUAUAUUGAGGGUUAUUCUGGACUUUAUUGAUGAAAUAAUAUGCUAAAGUUUGUUGAGUAGCUCUUCUAUUUUUAAAGAAUGAUUGUCAUGUAUGUUCUAUUUUCAAGGUUUUAACUUAAAUUCUUUUCCUUUAUAAACUGCUGAUAUCAGACAUACAAAAGUACAUCCAACAUCACAUCUAUAUCUAACUCUAGUAAGGGCACUCUUAUUUAAGUCCCCCUUCUUAGAAAUUGAGUAAAAACUCACAAACACUUUGCUUCAUCAAGAUCCUUAAAUCUCAUUCCCUUUUUCAACUCUAAGAAGUUAUCUAGAUUCCCAUUGACUUUUAUUUUAUUUUUUCUCACAAGAAAUUCUAACUCAUCACUAUUGUAGUCACUAUCUACAAGCUCAUUUUUCAUCCUCCUCUUCCUCACUUGAUUCAUCAUUAGUUACUACAUCUACUAUUACAGGAAAAAGUCCAUUAUGUUGACUGAUAUCAGGAGUUGGAACAAUAUUUUCACCCUCCUCAACAACAAAUAGUUGAAAUUUAAGCAAAUAAGAUUGACUAGACAAUGCACUUUGUAAAAUUUUAAUUCCUGCAUCACUCUUAAUUAGAUAAUACCCACCAAACGAUCCUAUACAUAGCAACUAUUUCACCUUACUAAAACCUAACUUUUUAGUGUAUUCUGAAUAUAUAUCCAUAGAUGAGAGCAAAUUUGGAUCAUACCCUUUUCAUGAAUGAGUCAAUUUUCUUAAGUAGGUAAGUUGAAGUGUAAGAAUUCAUUUUCCUCCGUAGUUAAGUACUGCACCAAUCUUUUCAACCAUUCUUUGAAGGGAUCACAUGACAAAUAUAGAAUAAAGAGAAAGUGACUUAUUAGAAAUCAACAAGGAAAACAACAACAAAAAAAAAGAAAAUCUUCCAAUUUUUUUAUGUCAAGACAAUGAUAAAAAGUAAAGGGAUUGGGACCACAUAGAGAAUGCAAUGUCAAAAAUAAAUAAAAAAAGAUCACUUUUUGAUAAAUGUAUCACAUACCUAACGGCCAUAAACACAUCAAACUAUGACAUGCCUAAUAGUCAUCCUUAAAAUGAUGAAGCACACAAAAAAAGACACGAAAUAAAUUCUGGAAAAACUAAAUCUUUCAUUUGAGAGAACAUUAUAGAAAAAUUCUAAUUCGAGCCAAGUAAAUGAAAGCAUAAACAACAUGCAACUUUAAAAGCUGACUACAAUAAGCAUAUGCCACAUGGAACAACAAAAAAAUAUAAAUAUGCAUCGAAUCUUCACAAUAUUAGAAAACAAAAGGAAAAUCCUAAACCUUAACUGAAAAUACUAAAAAAAAAAAAGAAAUACUUACUGAAAAAGGAGUAAAGUUACUCUUGCAGUCUAAGAACUUCAAGAAUGUUAUGUUACUCCAACAAUUUGUACAUUCAAUUGAGAAGCAGCAGAGAAAGAGAGAGGAGAGUGGAUGUUUGAUGAUGAAUGACUAACAGAUUGGGGCUUAUUAUAUGAGGCGGAUAGUGGAUUAGGUUAUUAGGCUUGGGCGGGUUGAGAUUUUAUAUGAAAAAUUAAUUAUUUUAAUUAAUAAUUAGCUGAAUAAUUAAAAAAUACGUCAUUAAUGAAGUGAAGUCAAGUUGAUCCGUUAAAUAAAAGGGCAAAAUAGCUCCAAUAGGUAGACGAAAAGGACAUUUUAGGCCUAAUAGGUGGAUGAAGGACAUUUUUGCACCAUUUCACAUAGUUAAAGGGUAUUUUAGGGCCUUUUCUGUACAUAAAAUUUUAUAAAAGAUAAGAUGGUGACACAUCAGAAAACCUUUGAUACAUAACUUGUGUAAUACAUGAACAAUUGAUCUAAUCCCUUAAUAUAAGACGAAAAUCAACAAAUGUAUUUACAUUUGAUUAAUUUUAUUUUAUUACUCUUUAAAAUAAUAAAUUCAUUAACCUCAUUAAUUUGAGACAAAAACAUAUAUAUCUUGUUAUGUAAUUUGAUAAAAUUUCAUUAUUACUUGUUAAAAUAAUAAAUUCAUCAAUUUUAUGUAUCUAUUACCUAUACAUUCAUACAUAUCAUGAACACGUACUAACCUCCUAAAUAUAUAAAACAAAAUUUAUGACUUUUGAUACUUAUAAACACAAAUACAUUCAUAUGUAUGUAUCAUGAACACAUACUAACCUUUUAGAUACAUACAGAUUUUUGAAGUAAUGAUAUGCACAUAAAUAUAUUCGUAUAUCUCAUGAAUAAAUACUAAGUUUCAUAUUCCAUAUGAAUAAGUAGGCUAAUUUUUGAAGUAAUGAUAUGCACAUAAAUAUAUUCGUAUGUCUCAUGAACAAAUACUAAAUUCAUAUUCCAUAUGAAUUAAUAGACACAUAGACACCUUCGUAUGUCUUAUGAAUAAAAAAUUAUAUUCUUAAACUAUGAUACAUAUACAUACAGAUACAUUCAUAUGUAUAAUGAACAAAUAUUAAGCUUCAUAUUCCAUAUAAAUAAGUAGAAAAUAAGACAUAAUGUGCAUGUACAUUCACAUGUAUCAUAAAAAUAUCUAGUGUUAAUUUCAUGUGUAUUUGUAUGUAUCUAACAUUAAUUUGAUGUAUCAAUUAUCAAUUUUAUAUAUUAUAUCCAAAAUACUUUUAUCUAGUAUCAAUUUGAUGUGUUCAAAAUUAAUUUCAUCUAGUGUAUUCAAUUGUACUUUGAUAUAUCAAGUAUAGAAUUCAUACAAUGAAUCCAAAAUACAUGUAUUUAGUAUCAAAUUGUUCCGUCAAAACUUAUGAUACAUGUAUAUGUGCAUAAAUGCAUACUUUAAAGAAGAAGAAAAAAAGAAAGAAAUAUAGAUAUUUCCUCAUUAAAAUAACAACAUCAAUUUUUUCAUGUUAAACAUUAUCGGAUCUCCACUAACAAUACCACUACCUGCACCACCUUAUCAUGUAAUCAAAAGAUUAAUUUGAUAAAUUUUGGUGAAAGAUGAAAAAUUAGCAUUCCUUAAUGAAAUCAAUAGUAAUAUUUUAUUAUGAUCUUCACGCCUUGCAUUUUGUCAUAUUUAAUUUUAGAUUUGUUUAAAAAGUUUUGAACUUGACAAACCUAAAGCUUAAGAUCAAUCGUUUCCCAGCUAGAGCUUUAAUGUACUUCUUGUAAUGAGAUUUAGAGUUAGAGAAUUUAGAGGAGAAAGAAUAAGGAAUAAGGAAGAAGGACAACGAAAGGAAGAAAGUAAAAGGAUAAUUUUUUUUUUGGGUAUUUGAGAGAUAAAUUUGCAUUAAGAAGGGCUAAAUUUGGUGAAAUGAAGGCGGUAUAAAUAGAAUGUGUAUGUAUUAAAUUCCGAGGAGAAAGAAAAUUUAAAUUGUUCAAAUAUAUAUAUUAUUUUCAAGCCGUGAAAAAAAUAUGUAUUAAUUAUAAAAAUAUUUAGGAAAUUAUGUAAUUUACCCAAUAAACACUACUAGAAAUUACCCCUAUUGCAAUGAAUUUUUUGGUAACGGUUCUAGAAGCGUUUCGAUAGAUGGUCUAUUGCAACGGUUCCAACCGUUGGGUAGAGUUUCAACCAUCUUAAAGGAUUUUCUGCUUCACUUUAGCUUUCAGGAAAAAUGAGCUGCGAUACUAUAACUAAUUGUGUUUUAAAUGGAGCAAGAUGGUCUAUUUUGAAGCAUCUAAUAUCUAGCUUAUCUAAGCAUUUUCGCGGGGCUUGGCUACAAGAAAUAGCAGUGUUGAGUUCCAAAACUUACUUUCAUUUAUUUGUUUCUACUGAAGUUGAUUCUUAUAAUGUUGCUUUACUACUGUUGUUAAAUAACUAAAACACCAACCAAAAGAUAGUCUAUAAAUCUAUGACUUUAGUAUCUUUUUAUAAUCCUUAUGUUGAACCUUGACAGUUGUUAGCCACAAAAUAAAAACAUCAUUUAUUAUCAAUUAACCUAUAAAAUUUGGAGAUACGUCUUCACUUGGUUGGGAUGAGUAACUGAACUUAACCUUGAGACGUACUAUCUUUUUUCAGGCUCACGAGAUCAUCCUCAAAUCAAUAUUUCACUUUAUUCCAAUAGUUGAUGACUUUUGUGUCAGAGAUAGAGCUUGUACAAGGUACAGAUUUGUAUCGUUUGUUGGCCAAAAGUCAGUAUAUAUGAUGAG
rnacentral:lncRNA from 1 species